CCUACGGGAGGCAGCAGUGAGGAAUAUUGGUCAAUGGACGAGAGUCUGAACCAGCCAAGUAGCGUGAAGGAUGACUGCCCUAUGGGUUGUAAACUUCUUUUAUAUGGGAAUAAAAUGUUCCACGUGUGGGAUUUUGUAUGUACCAUAUGAAUAAGGAUCGGCUAACUCCGUGCCAGCAGCCGCGGUAAUACGGAGGAUUCGAGCGUUAUCCGGAUUUAUUGGGUUUAAAGGGAGCGUAGGUGGUUUGUUAAGUCAGUUGUGAAAGUUUGCGGCUCAACCGUAAAAUUGCAGUUGAUACUGGCAGUCUUGAGUACAGUAGAGGUGGGCGGAAUUCGUGGUGUAGCGGUGAAAUGCUUAGAGAUCACGAAGAACUCCGAUUGCGAAGGCAGUUCACUGGACUGCAACUGACACUGAGGCUCGAAAGUGUGGGUAUCAAACAGGAUUAGAUACCCUAGUAGUC
rnacentral:rRNA from 1 species